rnacentral:rRNA from 1 species
UGGGGAAUUUUGGACAAUGGGCGAAAGCCUGAUCCAGCAAUGCCGCGUGUGUGAAGAAGGCCUUCGGGUUGUAAAGCACUUUUGUCCGGAAAGAAAUCCUUGGCUCUAAUACAGUCGGGGGAUGACGGUACCGGAAGAAUAAGCACCGGCUAACUACGUGCCAGCAGCCGCGGUAAUACGUAGGGUGCAAGCGUUAAUCGGAAUUACUGGGCGUAAAGCGUGCGCAGGCGGUUUGCUAAGACCGAUGUGAAAUCCCCGGGCUCAACCUGGGAACUGCAUUGGUGACUGGCAGGCUAGAGUAUGGCAGAGGGGGGUAGAAUUCCACGUGUAGCAGUGAAAUGCGUAGAGAUGUGGAGGAAUACCGAUGGCGAAGGCAGCCCCCUGGGCAAUACUGACGCUCAUGCACGAAGGCGUGGGGAGCAAACAGGAUUAGAUACCCUGGUAGUCCACGCCCUAAACGAUGUCAACUAGUUGUUGGGGAUUCAUUUCCUUAGUAACGUAGCUAACGCGUGAAGUUGACCGCCUGGGGAGUACGGUCGCAAGAUUAAAACUCAAAGGAAUUGACGGGGUCAUAGCUGUUUCCU